UACGGGGGGGGGUAAGCGUUGUUCGGAAUUACUGGGCGUAAAGGGCUCGUAGGCGGCCAACUAAGUCAUACGUGAAAUCCCUCAGCUUAACUGGGGAACUGCGUGUGAUACUGGAUGGCUUGGAUUUGGGAGAGGGAUGCGGAAUUCCAGGUGUAGCGGUGAAAUGCGUAGAUAUCUGGAGGAAUACCGGUGGCGAAGGCGGCAUCCUGGACCGGCAUUGACGCUGAGUGAGCGAAAGCCAGGGGAGCAACGGG
rnacentral:rRNA from 1 species